CGGCGUGCUAUGAUUUAGAUGCGGUAUGACCUCUUUUUGGUGAUUAGCAAAAACAUCGACGAAUAAUUGCUUUUCCUCGGAGAGGUUUUGUCCACUGCAAUAAUUCAAGACAAGAAUGACCAAAGUCGAAAAUAAUGAUAUGGUGAACAUGGUCAUUCAGACUUUAUCCAGCAGCAACAAAAUUAAUUUUCGGCAGAAGGACUUUGUCCACUUGCAAAUGACCAAAGUUAAAAAUAAAAAUACGUUCA
rnacentral:lncRNA from 1 species